ensembl:lncRNA PVT1 Pvt1 oncogene
UUUUUUUUUUUGUUUGUUUGUUUUUUGAUACAGAGUUUCACUCUUGUUGCCUAGGGUGGAGUACAAUGGCGUGAUCUCAGCUCACCACAAGCUCUGCCUCCCGGGGUCAAGCGAUUCUCCCCAGUAGCUGAGAUUACAGGCAUGCGCCACCACGUCCGGCUAAUUUUGUAUUUUUAGUAGUGAUGGGGUUUCUCCGUGUUGGUCAGGCUGGUCUCGAACUCCUGACCUCAGGUGAUCCGUCUGCCUCAGCCUCCCAAAGUGCUGGGAUUACAGGAGUGAGCCACCGAGCCUGGCCGCUUCCGGUCUUUGGAUUUGAUUUUCCUCAAGUGUAAUUGAAAGCAGGGGCCUGGAUGGCCGCCAUAGUCCCUCCCAGCUUCGACAUUACACAUUCCUGCCAAUCCAUUUUUCAGGCUGAUAACAUUGUUCAGAGUUUAAUGGGAGCAGGGUAAGAUAGUCACCGUGUGGAGCAAAAAUUGAAGGAAAUAUUCCAGAUGUCAUGAUUUUUUACCUGUAGCCCCUCUGCUGCCACACCCUUGUGCACAUCCUCCAGACACUUUUAAAGAAUAAACUCUAUUUUCAGAAGAGUUUUAGAUUUACAGGAGAAUUGUGAAAACAGUUCAAAAAGUUCUCAUAUACCCUGCUCCCAGUUUUCCCUGUUACUAACGCUUUGCAUUAGUGUGGCACAUUUGCCACAAUUAAUGGACCAAUAUUGAUACAUUAUUAUUUACUGAAGUUGAAACAUUACUUUAGUUUUUACCUGGUCCAGGAUCCCAUCUGGGAUCCCACAUCACAUUUAGUGAUCAUGUCUUCUUAGAUUGCCCUGGGCUGUGCCGCUUUCUCAGACUCUCCUGGUUUGUGAUGACAUUGACAGUCUUGAGUUUUGAUGACCAGUUUUGACUGGUCAGGUAUUUCAUAGAACGUACCUCUGUGAGGGUUGUCUGAUUCUUCUUCUUAUUAGAUUGGGAUUAUGGAGGAAGGCCACAGAGGUAAAGUUCCGCUUUUAUGAAAUCAAGGGUAGGCACCAUCAGCAUGACCUAUCACUGAUGUUGACUUUGAUUACCUGGCUGCUGUAGUGGUUGUCAGGUUUGUCCACUUUAAAGAUACUUUUGUGUUUUUGUUCUUUCUUAACUCCCUUUUUAUAUUAAACUCUUCAGAAGGAAGUCACUGUGCAUAGCCAUCCCCUAAGAAGAGGGCAUUCCUGCUCUUCCUUCUCCAUGGCUAGAGGAUCUACAUGAACUAUUUAGAUUUUUUCUACCUGGGAGAUUUAACUCCUCUCUCCUAUUUAUUUAUUUAUAUAUCAGCAUGGACUUGCAGGCCAACAGAGAUUUUGAGAAACACAUUGAAGGAUCUGUUAACACUUGAUAUACCCAAUAAAAGCAGUGGUUGUGCCAGUGCUGAUCUGUCUUGAUGUGAAUGUGAACAAUGGGAACCUGAGCUGAGCAGUUAAUGCUAGGGUGACAGAAACUGGACCUCUCCCAAGACAUGUGACAGAGUAAUACAGCAGCCAACUUCUUCGCCAAAUUAAAGUUUUACAAGAUUUAACCUGUCAUCAAGACCUGGGAUUUUGGUGAGCCAGUCUUGGUGCUCUGUGUUCACCUGGUUCAUCUGAGGAGCUGCAUCUACCCUGCCCAUGCCAUAGAUCCUGCCCUGUUUGCUUCUCCUGUUGCUGCUAGUGGACAUGAGAAGGACAGAAUAACGGGCUCCCAGAUUCACAAGCCCCACCAAGAGGAUCACCCCAGGAACGCUUGGAGGCUGAGGAGUUCACUGAGGCUACUGCAUCUUGAGACUCAGGAUGAAGACCCAGCUUGGGGCUGUCAAAGGUUUUUUGCAUGUCUGACACCCAUGACUCCACCUGGACCUUAUGGCUCCACCCAGAAGCAAUUCAGCCCAACAGGAGGACAGCUUCAACCCAUUACGAUUUCAUCUCUGCCCCAACCACUCAGCAGCAAGCACCUGUUACCUGUCCACCCCCACCCCUUCCCCCAAACUGCCUUUGAAAAAUCCCUAACCUAUGAGCUUUGAAUAAGAUGAGUACGAACUUCAUCGCCCACGUGGCGUGGCCGGCCUCGUGUCUAUUAAAUUCUUUUUCUACUACAA